UAAUUUUUUAGCUGAAAAGACGUAAAGUAAGCAGUCACCGCAGUGGUGUUUGUGGAGAGGUAUUCCUUCAGAAAUGGAGAAGACAGAAAGCUGCAGAGGCAGGAUUGUUUGCAGAUAAUGCUGUUCUUCUUUUUCAGAAGUUUUUGGUGGGCCAACCCUCACAAACCUUCCUAAAAACUAAAAGAGCUAUUACUGAGUCUCAGCGACUCUUGCCACGGUCAGCUCUUCCCAGAAGAGAAGGAAGACCAAGGAAAUGAUUUGCUCAGGAUGAGAAAUGAAGAUGGUCAUCUUGUGCUCAAGCAAACAGAAGUCCUCUGGUAUGUGUGUGUUGAAGCAAUGAUGUGUUACAGGACUUUAUGAUGAUCUCUCACAGGACUGGUCAUGUCAGCCGUAAUUAUUCUUUCCAAUGUUUUUUUAUUUAUUUUAUUUUAUUUGAUACAGCUAUAAUAAUUAUAGCAUGUUAGCAAAGUUUGACUGGAACAUUUUUAAUCUAAAGUUUUAAAAAAACACCACCUGUUAUUCUUAAAAGCAUACAAGUGUCAUAAAAGUGGUUUAAUUGAUAUAAACACCAAUUGACAUUAUCUUACUGUUUUGUGAAUGUUGUGUUAUAAAUUGUGAAUUGAUAGUUGAUUGGUUUGAGCAAAGCCUUACACUGCACAGACUAAAACACAUUUGUGAGAGAAGUCAUUAGCUCUGGAGAAAGAUUCUAGAGGAA